rnacentral:tRNA from 1 species
CGGAUAGCUCAGCCGUA